rnacentral:lncRNA from 1 species
GUACCGAGAUUGAAUGGCAGGAUUGCGAUAGAAUUUCAAAAACAAGAAAAUAGAGGAUUUUGCUAGUCAACAGAAAAAGAACGUCAAAUUUUGAGAAUUUGGAAAAGAUGGAGAAGAAAAAAAUAAAACAAAAUAAAAAUAUAACAACAUAUCCCCCAGAUUCCUCCCCACUAACACUCAACUAUCUCAGAAUUUUUGUUUCACCCAACCUCUAACAAACACACGAAUCAAAAAUUUAUCACCCACGCUCACACAAGGACUCAAACAUAGGACCUCCAACACACUAACUCCUUACCACUCGAACC